UACAGAGGGUGCGAGCGUUAAUCGGAAUUACUGGGCGUAAAGCGCGUGUAGGCUGUCUCGCAAGUCGGGUGUGAAAGCCCUGGGCUCAACCUAGGAAGUGCACUCGAAACUGCGAGACUUGAGUCCUGGAGAGGAAGGCGGAAUUCUCGGUGUAGAGGUGAAAUUCGUAGAUAUCGAGAGGAACACCGGUGGCGAAGGCGGCCUUCUGGACAGUGACUGACGCUGAGACGCGAAAGCGUGGGGAGCAAACAGG
rnacentral:rRNA from 1 species